AGAUUAAACUGAAGAGUUUGAUCCUGGCUCAGAUUGAACGCUGGCGGUAUGCUUAACACAUGCAAGUCGAACGGCAGCACGAGGAGAGUU
rnacentral:rRNA from 1 species